UGGAGAACAAUGUUGUUUUUACUUUCUGCACGAUACAUUUGAAAUUAAUGACAUUGACAUAACAGGUUCUUUGGUUUAAUAUUGCGUUCAAAGAAUGCAGUUAAUUGCCUAAGAAGUCCCUUAUAACUACUGUACUUAACGAAACUGGAUUAAAAUUAUAGAAAAACAAUUCAUCAUAGCCAAAUCAUAUAAAUGUCAUGUUAGUUAUACACAUUUAAAAUUUUAAAAAUCAAGCAACAGAUUUUAUUGAUUAUUCCAAUUUAUAAACAAAAAUGAAUAAAAAUAAUUUUUCAAAUUCCUUAACUACAAUGAAAAAUUCUAUUAAAUUUAACAAAGACGUAGAAAUAUUUCGCGUAUCAAAUUCAUGGAACGUCAGUAUGGAACAAGGAAAGUUGAAAGGUGAAAAUGAAAAGACAUCUUUUCAUAAAUUUGAAAAGCUGAAGACUCGUGUACCAAAAUUAAAUAACUAAUAGUUGAAAUUUGUAACAUUCUUACAUAUGUACGUACAUAUGUACAUAUGUAUGUAUGUCUGAAGCUUGAAAUAUGUGUACAUUGUGUUAAAAGUUUUUUAAUAGUAAAACGUCACUAUAAAAACAAGCUGUCA